rnacentral:rRNA from 1 species
GACGAACGCUGGCGGCGUGCUUAACACAUGCAAGUCGAACGGAAAGGCCCUGCUUUUGUGGGGUGCUCGAGUGGCGAACGGGUGAGUAACACGUGAGUAACCUGCCCUUGACUUUGGGAUAACUUCAGGAAACUGGGGCUAAUACCGGAUAGGAGCUCCUGCUGCAUGGUGGGGGUUGGAAAGAUUCGGCGGUUGGGGAUGGACUCGCGGCUUAUCAGCUUGUUGGUGGGGUAGUGGCUUACCAAGGCUUUGACGGGUAGCCGGCCUGGGAGGGUGACCGGCCACAUUGGGACUGAGAGACGGCGCAGAAUGCUACGGGAGGCAGCAGGGGGGAAUAUGGCACAGUGAGGGGGCGCCUGAUGCAGCGGCGCCGCGUGCGGGAUACCGGCCUUCGGGUUAUAAACCACUUUCGAAGGUGACAAGGCGUGAGUGACGGUAAUGGGUAAGAAAGCACCGGCUAACUACGUG